rnacentral:rRNA from 1 species
AGUUUGACUCCGUGGCUACGAGGACGAACGCUGGCGGCGUGCUUAACACAUGCAAGUCGAACGAGGAUGGAGGAGAGCUUGCUUGAAUCCAUUCGAGUGGCGGACGGGUGAGUAACGCGUGAGCAACCUGUCUCACACAGGGGAAUAACGCAUCGAAAGAUGUGCUAAUACCGCAUAGGACCACGGUGUCGCAUGGCAUUGAGGUGAAAGGAGGAAUCCGGUGUGAGGUGGGCUCGCGUCUGAUUAGAUAGUUGGUGGGGUAACGGCCUACCAAGUCAACGAUCAGUAGCCGACCUGAGAGGGUGAUCGGCCACAUUGGGACUGAGACACGGCCCAGACUCCUACGGGAGGCAGCAGUGGGGAAUAUUGGGCAAUGGGCGCAAGCCUGACCCAGCAACGCCGCGUGAAGGAAGAAGGUUUUCGGAUCGUAAAACUUCUGUCCUUGGUGAAGAUAGUGACGGUAGCCAAGGAGGAAGCCCCGGCUAACUACGUGCC